rnacentral:RNase_P_RNA from 1 species
ACUAACGAAGCAAUCGCUGCCAUUUAGGUAGAGGAAAGUCCAUGCUCACACUUUCUGCGAUGAAAGUAGUGUUUAUGCUGGUUUAAUAAAUAAAGCCAGGGGAAGACGGCAGUAACUAAUCCUAAGUUUUUUAAAAAUAUGGAUGAGGACUCUAAGGUGCAACAGUGACGAAGUUUUAUGGAAACAUAAAAGUGGAACGAUGUAAACCCCAUAAGUGAGAAACCCAAAAUAUGGUAGGGGAGCCCAAAGCGUGACAAAAUGAAGGCAACAGGGAGGCAUUUGCCUAGAUAAAUGAUUGCUACCUGUAAACAGGAACAGAACAUGGCUUAUAGUU